AAAGGCCCUUCGGGGUACUCGAGCGGCGAACGGGUGAGUAACACGUGAGUAAUCUGCCCCUAGCUCUGGGAUAGCUCCGGGAAACCGGGAUUAAUACCGGAUACGACCCCUUCGGACGUCUGAAGGGGUGGAAAGAUUUAUCGGCUAGGGAUGAGCUCGCGGCCUAUCAGCUUGUUGGUGGGGUAACGGCCCACCAAGGCGACGACGGGUAGCCGGCCUGAGAGGGCGACCGGCCACACUGGGACUGAGACACGGCCCAGACUCCUACGGGAGGCAGCAGUGGGGAAUAUUGCGCAAUGGGCGAAAGCCUGAUCCAGCCAUGCCGCGUGGAUGAUGAAGGCCUUAGGG
rnacentral:rRNA from 1 species